AAAAAACACGACGGAAUAUCGAUAAAAAUGGCGGAUAAAAAUUUGCCAUGGGGCUUGAUAAACGACAAAAUAUCACCAGGAUCAGCCAAGACAAUAUCUGAGAGUAAACUAAAGGCAUUUGAAGUUGGAACCAUGAAUAUCGGCAAAAAGUCAUUGUCAAAACGAGAGCAAGAGGAACUUAGAAAAAAGCAAGAUGAAAAAGCAACAGCAGAAGUUUACAAGGAGUUUGUGGCAUCAUUUGAUGACGCGGGGAAGCUGAACAAGACAUGGGUUAAAGGGGGGACAUUUAACCCAGAGAAAAGUACAAAGGACAAAGUCGGAGGGAAAACAAAGAUCUAUAAGCCAACUUCUAAACUUGCCGAGUUGGCAUCUACGUUCCAAUCUGUGAAAGAGGCCAAGAAACAGGACGAUUUUAUGGACGAUUCACUGAGACCACCUGUUCCUGGCAAGAAGAAGACUGAAUCAAAGAAGAAGAGUAACCUGGAGAUUUUUAAGGAAGAGCUAAAGCAAAUGCAACAGGAGAGAGAACAGAGGCACAAAAUGAAGAAGAUGAGAAACCAGCCCCCUGACCCUGGGAUCCUCACACCCCCCAUGGAAGAUCCCUCUAGGGCCUCCAAGUUUGAACCCAUGCCUGCAGACUUUAACAUUGCAGAUAUGAAACUUGGACCAUAUGACCCAGUAGACGAAACGACUACAAAUAUUUAUGUUGGAAACAUAAACCCCAAGAUGACAGAGCCUGAGCUCUGUGAGAUCUUCGGUCGGUUUGGUCCCCUGGCCAGUGUGAAGAUCAUGUGGCCCCGCACAGACGAGGAGAGAAGCAGGGGACGCAACUGUGGCUUUGUGGCUUUCAUGAAUAGAAAGGAUGGAGAAAGAGCUCUCAAUGCAUUAAAAGGCAAAGAUAUUAUGCAGUAUGAGAUGAAGUUAGGGUGGGGUAAGGCUGUGCCUAUCCCUCCCCAUCCAAAAUACAUCCCCCCGGCUUUAGCAGAGAUGACCCAGCCCCCACCCCCCUCAGGAUUGCCAUUUAAUGCCCAGCCCUCGAGAGGAAGGGAUCGCAGAGGGAAAGGCCUGGGAAAAGUCCCUCCCCCACUGGGCCGAGAGGAGGAGGAGGGUGGAGAAAAGAAACCUGCUGAUCCUGAUUCAUCGCAUGAUCGAAUUCGUCGUGCGCGAGGGUCCCAUGUUUGAGGCCAUGAUCAUGAACAGAGAACUCAAGAACCCACAGUUUAGAUUUCUAUUUGACAACAUGAGUCCAGCCCAUACAUACUACAGAUGGAAGCUAUUUAGCAUUCUACAGGGAGAUUCCCCAUACAAAUGGAGGACAGAGGAGUUCCGAAUGUUCAAGGGGGGAUCCCUGUGGAAGCCACCGCCUAUGAAUCCAUACACACAGGGCAUGCCAGAGGAACUGGUACAAGAAGACUAUAUGGAGAAAGUGGUCGAACAACAGACUCCCUCAGGGCCCAAAAAGGGGCAACUUACAGACAGUCAAAGGGAUAGACUAGAGGACAUGCUGAGAGAAUUGACCCCGGAGAGAACAAAGGUUGGAGAUGCCAUGGUGUGGUGUUUAGAUCACGCUGAGUCGGCAGAGGAGAUCGUCGAGUGCAUCACAGAGUCACUGUCCAUUCUACAGACACCAAUACCUAAAAAGAUUGCCCGGCUGUUCCUGGUGUCGGACAUCCUGUUUAACAGCAGUGCCAAGGUUCCCAACGCUUCCUUCUUCAGGAGAUGUUUUCAGCAUAAACUUCAAGACAUAUUUAAAGAUGUCCAUGAAACCUAUGCAGGCAUUGAUGGUCGGCUAAAAGCAGAGCAGUUCAAGCAAAAAGUAAUGUCUUGUUUCCGAGCUUGGGAAGACUGGGCAAUUUAUCCUAAUGAUUUCCUGAUCAACUUACAAAAUGUUUUCUUAGGACUCAUUCCUUCAAAGUUACAGAUGGAGGAUGAAGACAUUCGGCAUGAGUCAGACAUUGAUGGAGCUCCCAUUGAAGAUCUGGAUGGUCUUCCUCUGGACUCCAAGGAGGUGGAAAUCAAGACCAUUGAUGGCAAACCCCUGGUGGAGGAUGUGGAUGGGGACAGUUACACGGAAGAAUUAGACGGAGCACCUUUGGAAGACAUUGAUGGAAGUGUAAUGGAACCAGAAAAAGAGAGGUCUCCUCCCCAGCCCAGGUUUGCCAGCUCAAAAUGGGAGACAGUUGAUGAAGCCGAGUUAGAGGCUCAAGCUAUGACAACAUCCAAGUGGGACUUGUUGGAUCAACAGGAUGAGGAAAGAGAAGAUACGCAGUCAUCUAAAAUCGAGGAGUCGGAGGAUAUCGACGGAGCACCUUUAGAAGAUGAAGGGGCCUACUCUGACAAUGAUGACGAUUUCAGUAAAAGUUUUGAUGGCUCCAAGCAAGAAAUGACAGAGGAGAGGAGAGCGAAACUAAGAGAAAUAGAGCUCAAAGUGAUGAAAUACCAGGAUGAGAUAGAGAGUGGAAAGAGAUCUCGGAAAUCUCACAUGAAUAUCUCACAACAGGUUGAACACUACAGAAAGAAACUUUUACAAAAAGAAGUGCUAGAUUCUCCCGGUGGAAAGGAGAGGAAGCGGCAUCGAUCCCGGUCAUAUUCUCCGGACUCCAAAUCAUACUCCACGAGUCCAAAACGCAGCUCAUCUAAAAGAUCUCGAAGUCCUAAAAGGUCACGGAGAUCUAGAUCAAGGUCACCUCACAAACGCUCAUUAUCAAGAAGCCCUAGUCGCCAUCGUAGGAAAAGCAAGAAAAAUAAACAUAGUAGAGACUAACAAAUAUCACCCAUCCCAUCAUGCAUUGUAAUUACCCAUUCAUUGUUGUCUAUCAUAUUUCUAUGCAUUAGUAACAGGUGUUUUGUAAGAUUUUGACUUUUUUCUUGCAAUACUAUUUGUUUUUGAUCAAGAUGUGUCCUCUGCAAGAAAAUUAACAAGUAAUUUGGUAGUUUAGAAACCAAGUAAUUGAAAAGAUGUCAAAUUGAUAUGCUUUAUAAGACAUUUUUAUUUUGACAUUUCUUUUAAUACAAAAGGAAAGCAUGUUGGUGCUCUUCCAAAGAUGAAAAUAAUCAUGAGAUCAUUAACCAUAAAACCUGAAACAAACUACUUACAGAAUGACAUUGAUGAAUGUGUAUGCUUUCUGAGUGAUCUUUGAACAUUCAGCAAUGGGCAUUAAAUGAGUACAAAUGAAAUAUGAAUAGCAGGAAGACUAUGAAACUAAGAGAAUUAGUGCAAUUCUGAGAGCGUUUUUCGUUGGUAGUGGCUGCUGUACCAUUCAAGAUGAUAGAACCCUUUCUCUCUGUCUUGUUGCUGAGAUAUUGCAGUGGGAUAUCUGUAUUUGUUUUAUAAUUUAUGCAUGUAAAUAAGAAAUCAAAUUGUAAAUACUGAAUGACACAAUUCUUGAGAUGUAUCUAAUACUGUGAGUAAUAAAUCAGGAGAAC
rnacentral:misc_RNA from 1 species